GCCUGUCUGAGUAUUCACCUCUUCACAGAUACGAUGGUGCAUCAGUUGCUCAGCAAAACUCGUAGAUCUGCCAAAUCCUGCCCACUCAUUAUGAGAUUCAGCGUGGUGCACAGGCAGAACACUUACCCACCUGAAGAUAGACGGUACCUGCGCACAAAUCCGUCUUUUUGCUGCAAAAUGCAACUACGGGAUAAAUCCAUCGUUUGUGCACCAGCGGCGUCGGGGCACAACAGGGACAGACACCGGGGGACAGGGGGCGGCGAGCGGACGGGGAGGUAAGCGCUCUGUCGGCGUGGAAGCAUCCUCCAGCGUGACUCCAGCUUUAGCUUAUUUUGGCUUUAUUUAGAGCAGGACGUGUUCUGUUUGAGUUAGUUAGAGACGGAUCAUCAGUUUCACUACCACGGGCUGUGCACAGACGUGUCUGCAAAGAGGGAGGGAAAACUAACUUGUAAGGAGAAUAUAAGUAACCUGGUUUUAAAAAAAAAAAAAAAACAGUUAAGUGAUUCGUCUGAUCCAUCCAUUUAUUAUUGUUACUCCUCCAUGACUGUCCUUCUCUCUAAAUCACUCAUCUCCAUGUUGCAUUUAUUUUCUGGCAGGUGAGAAUGUGUGAAAAGGACAGAGCUGGGUGUCAUGAAUCAAGUUGGAGAUUAAGGGCUUCAGUUCAGGUCUGUCCUGAGCAGGUAGUCAGCUCAGCUGUGAUGAUGUAACACAUUGUGUUUCCCCUCAGAGCCCAGCUGUUUAGUGAGGGUCUUCUCCACAAAUCAGCUGUUUUCUCUGCAUAUUUAUGCUGAACAGUCUCUGUAGAUGGAUUACUACACAGCAGGGGCAUAUGGAGCAUAACAGUCAAGGAUGAAUGAAGCUUUAUCUUGUAUCUUGUGCAUUGCAUUAACUUAUUCUUUCAUCCAUAUGAAAAUAGCAUGUAAUAAUAGACCUACUGUAUACAUAUCUAGUGAGCUGUGCAUUUGCCCAGGCGCCUGUGUUAAAGGGAUAUUCUGGCGUAAAAUUAGGUUAGGGUCAAACACACCAUAACACAGAGUUAGACACCCUGUCGAGGGAAGAAUGUUGCUGACUGCUUCCUUCUCUAGUUAUACCAACUUUGGUCUAGACCGCACGAUAGCAAUACAGAGAGCCACGCACUCAACCAAAAAGAAAUUAGGCAAAGUUAAAAAGAUGUUUGGUGGCUAGUACUAUGGCUGGGACCCUAUAUGUACUGUUGAUGAAGUUAGGUGCUGUUCUAAGCAUGAUUUGUGACUAUAGAGUGGCCUUUUGGUUGAGCGCGUGGCUCUCUGUAUUGCUAUCUGUGGUUGUUGCUUAAGUUGUUAUAACUAGAGAAGCAAACGGUCGGCAACAUUUAUCGUGACGGGGUGUCUAACUCGGUGUUACGGUGUGUUUGACCCUAAAUUAAUUUUACGUUGGAAUAUCCCUUUAAUAUAAGUGAAACAAUUUUCAGUAUGAACUUUGCUUUUCAGUUAUCCUCUCAAAAAAGAAGAAUUAAAGCUAUUAUCAUAAGUUAAUACCCGCACUAAUGGUUUAAAUUUCUCUCAAAAUGUUAAGGGUCACAGGUUGAGGAUUAGGAGGAGGGGCUUUCUCAGUCCGCAAGGUUUCUUAGUGGCUCCAUGGGGGGUGGGUUAAGCCUGUUAGGUCCAUAUGAUGCCAUAGCGAGUGUAUUUCAUGGAUCAGGGGAGAUGGGAGGGAGAGCAUUGAAAUUCUGUCCUUUAGCCAUAUCCAUAGACUCCGCUUCAGAAAUCACAGCUCCCCACUUAUAGGUUAUGCAUGGGUGGGCUGUGCUUGUGUAUUUCUUGCCAACCAAGUAUACUUCCAGAGCACUUCUGCAUCCUUUUGUAUAUGCAGAAUCCCAUUUAGCCCCCAUUCAUCCCCCACUGACGACCACAACUUCCCCAACGUAACCCUAAGGAAAAACUUCAUUAUUAAAGUUACAGUUUCUUUAAAUGAUCUCUCUAUAUGCUGGGAUUGGGUUUGAUUUAUAAUCCAGUGAACCAGUCUGUAAUGGCCAUAAAUGCAGUUGAAUUAAUGCUUAUAUUUGAAUACAGAGUUUGAAUUUUUGCUUGAAAGUGAGGCUUUAACCGUGUUCAUAAAUGAGAUACUCUUAAUACCAGGUUGUGCUUCUACAUAUUUGAUCUUACUUAAGUGAGAGUCCUGCUGUGAGGAGAUGAAGACGAGUAAAUGAUGUUCACUUUUAGCGCUGGCUUAUAACCUGGCAUGAUUCAUCUCCCACUGACUCAGUAAAGCCACGAACAGCAGGACUAGCUUAAUAUAAUGUUACAUGAUCUUUAAAAAUACCCAGAUUCCUGCUUGAUUCUAGCUCCCUGCUGAUCCUUCAUAAAGGAGGGACACCUUGAUGGACGUUUGUCUUGACACAGCAUAUAUUUGGAGGCAAAACUAGAUAGGGGGAGUUCCUAGUAGAGCCGAAAAGCAGAGAAAUUAUGCAGCAGAUGAUGUGCCCUUGUGCUGGCCUCCAUGAGGUGCACAUCUUUGCAGUGGAGAGGGAUCAAGGUUUGCUGAGGGGAGGUUAAGGAGCAAGCAGAAGCAAAGUCAUGUUUUAACAGGCCUCUCCUGCUGUUUCCUCUUUGACAAAAAUUCCUCACUUAUUUUGCAUGCACACAGGGAUUUCAUUUAUAAGCCCAACCAUAACAGAGACAGAACAUUAACUCACACACUAAAACACCUGCUGUAACAUCCAUCUGGCUAUAUCCUCAUCUCCAGCAACAGUGAGGCACUGCCGCCUUUCUGCCCCUGCGGUGAUUAAGAUUGAAACACAGCAGGGGGGCGACCGUGGCGCAACAGUGGCUCAUACACGGGUUUGUGCACGGCGUGUUAUCCAGCCCAUUGAGGCUAAUAUCUGUGAAUGAAACAUGCCGACACUUUCAAUGGUGGGUCUUUUUUUUCUUCAAGUAUCUUCAGGGAUUUAAGCAUAAACGCAUUACAAGAAAGAUAAAAAGUAUGAAACCUUCUUAUCUUUAGCUCUCACAGAGGAGGAACCAGGACAAUACUUUUGGUUUGCUGGGAGUUUGAAAAGCUUAAUGAGUAAUAAUUUUAGUAAAAUAAGUUUAUCACAUCAUUAAUCAAAACUAUUACUUUAUGACUGACAUGUACGGGCUUGUCUGUUUUCGCUUUGUUCAGCUUUGCGUCUUUAUUUUCCUCUUGGUUGUGAUUUGUUAUGAAAUCCACCACACAGUUUCCAGUUUAUUACUGCUGGGUCCAGGUGGUCCCUGAUCAGAUUAACCAGUAUCUGUGAUUCAUUGCUUGAAGAGUGUAUUUAGGGCUCCUGUCAGCUGCUGGAUGUGUACAUUACAAGAGAGGUCCAGUGUUCUUGUAAUAUGAGCAACACUUUACAGAAACUGCCUCUGACCUCAGAUCCAGAGCUGCUGCUGCUGCCGUGAUCUUCCUCCCAGGGGUGUGAUGAUCUGUGGAGAAGUCUGUGAUAGGCCUGUAGGGGGAAACGCUCAACAGCCCAAAACCCAAUUUCCUCUGAAAGAUUGAGGAGGAUAACAUCCUCCAGGGUGAGGCGCUGAACUCUUGUACUUUUCUUGUCUUCAGAUCUCAUCAGGCUUUUUAAUUAUUUCACGAAGUCAGUCUCAGACCCUUUUUUUCCUAACCUUUCAGGAGGAGAUUUAGAGGUCACGUCAUCUCUGCAGCAUGUGAUAUUUCUGGAGGAGCUAACCCUGAGCUCUCUCUUCAGAAAGGUUUUAGGUUUACAAAGUUAGUUUGUUUCAGGUAAUAAAGCAACACAACACCUCAGCUGAUACUGUUUGGGAGGAAAUCAGUGUCACAGCUUCUCCUUCAGUUAAAAAGCAGUCACCCCGACAGUCUCUGUGACAUUAAGCAGUCAGAGUGAGAGUCUUUCUUUCACCUCACUCUUCAGCAGAGCAGACAUCUGCUAUAAAAUCUGUGUGCAGAGUUUUCUCACACUGUCAACAAUCCUGCUCGAUUAUAUCAGCUCAGGAUGGAGAAAAAAGUAAGAAAUAUAGAUAUUUUUCUGCUCUUUGCGUAAGAUUACCGAAUAAACUUGACUUUUUUCCCUCGGUGAACAUUUUAUUUCUCUAUUUUCAUCAAAGUAGCAGCUUCUCUCCCUCUGCCCUGCUCCUUCAUUUAUUACUUUUCUCAAUGACGCCUCCAGGAAGUCUCUCUCUUAAAAAAGACGAUUAGGACCUCAAGAAAACAAAAAAAAAAUUAAGGAGGGAGAUUUUUUAAUUUCCAUUUAAUUUUGAAAUUUAGAUUUUAAUCUCAAAUUUUUAAUGUGGAAAUUUCAGCAUUAUUCACGACAUUUGACAAUUUGUGUUCUCGGAAUUUCAAAUUUUUUAUCUCCCAAAAUUUCGACUUUGUGGACAUAAUUUCAAUUUUUUAAAUCUUGAAAUUUCAACGUUAUUCACAACAUUUUGUAAUCUCCAAUUUUCGACUUAAAUCUAGAAAUUUCAAUUUUUAAUCUCGAAAUUUCAACUUUAUUGACAAAAUUUAAUUUUUUUUUUUAAUUUUGAAAUUUCGACUUUGGUAUUGAAAUUUCAACUUUAAUCUCCUUCCUAUAAUUAUUUUUUAUUCUCUUCAUGUGGCCCUUAUCCGCUUUCGUAUCCACUUCGUAGACUGUUUGCUUCCCUCAGUCUAAAAUCUGAGAUGCUCACUGGCAUGAAUCCAGAAGACUUUUGGAUUCCUGUCCAGCUAUCUGAAUUUAUCAAAAAAGAUGAUGUAAAUAUUGGGGGUAAAGUAAAAAAAACCCAAACCAGCAAGAGCCCAACUGCUCAGUGACCAUGAAGUGAACUCCCCUCAUGCUGAGAGGGUUACAGUGAGGUGAGCGUUCAAGUGUUUGUCUGCCUGUGCGUGAGAUUGACACAUGGUGUGCACUCAGAGUUGCAUGCCAUGAUGAUACAUUGGGCGCUGUUACCCAAAAAGGCAACCUUGCACAUUCACUGACCUCUGCAGCAAUGAUUGCAUGAGUGGAAAAACCAAAGCAGUCUAGCCUGGCACGCCACAGUUCAGCUCAGGCCGCCCCCCACUGUUCAACGACUAUGAGUUAUGUGACGGCAUGAAAACACACCCUCUUCAAGCUGGUGUGUACAAUUCUUUUAUCUGUAACCCAGACCCCUGGGUAGGCAGAGUGUUGAUGAGUCAUUGUCUUUCCCUGAGCUGCAGUAAUUCAUCAGAACUUGAAGCCGCUUUGGCUGAUGGCGUUUUUGACAGAGCAAUCUCCCCUGUGUCAGAGAGAAUUUGGCUUUAAUGGCGGGGCGGACAGUGGAGGAGAACAUGGAGAGUUCAGAGCACCGGGUGUGACUGCAAAUUGAAAAGUCUGCGUGUAUGAGCAUCUGUGCCACUUCUUCAACAUGUUAAAUUAUUUAUUCUGGUUCAUUGGACAUUAAUUCUCACAGUGAAUCAAAUCAUACCAAGCUGUCCCUUUUUAACAGAUGAUUUGGUUCUGGUGUGGCGGAUGUAAUGGACUAAGGAAUGACAGUAACAAAAACCCCAUUAUAUUUAUCACUUAGAGAUUAGGGCUGGGCGAUAUUUAUUACAAUAGCCAACGUCAUUUUACCCGUAUCUGUUUAUUUGGUGUCAAGCAUUACUGGGUGAAGAGUGACAGAAAAAAUAGCUGCAAGUGUCCGACAGUGCUUUCCAUGUGUGUGAGAUUUCUUUUUAAGAGUGAAGACAUUUGAUCUAGGGCUGGGGGAUAAACCGAAAAUUCACUGAUACAGAAAUUUACGAUAAUAACCAAAGUCAUUUUGCCCGUGUCAAUAUAUUCGGUGUCAAAAAAAUAAAUAAAUAAAAUUUGGUUUUGAAUGUGUGUAGGUAGGUUAUGGUCUCAUGUCCCUUUUAAGAUGUGACUCCACCCCAUCCAGUCUGUAACAAAUAGGGAAAGACAGGUGAGGAGAUGGAGGACGGUUCAAAAGUCGUAGCAGCUGAGGUAGAUGAAGUUAAUGUGGGAAGGGGUGAGCAGCUUGUGGAGUAGUUACUGUCCAUUUAUUGUUAUCGAGGUGAACUGCUCAAUAUAUCGUGAUAUUGAUUUGAGGCCAUAUCACCCAGCCCUAGUUGAGAUCCAGGUUCCUGGCAGGUUUUAAGGUUUAGGUUUAGUUAGUGAAGUAACAGCACAGUCUUCUGCUUCAACUACAGUAAGAGAAAAAGGCAGUUUGAGUAGGAAAUGCUGUCCCCAGCUGAGCCGGCACACUGAGUUUUGGCUGUGGGUCUAACAGGAUUAGAUCCUGGUGUGUGAAAAUAGUAGACUCUGUGCAGCAGUGUGUAUCACUGUUCCUUAGAGCUGGUCUUGGCAAAAAAAAUACACAACAUGGUGUAAUAAUUUGUCUUGAGCUGGUGCACUAACACUGCUUGGCGCCUUUUAAUGGCUCGCUUAAAAAGAAGAAAUUGAUUUCCUGGUUUCUGCCUCAGAGAUGUUUCUCCGUAGCAGCAAAGACCGCUGUGGCAUUACAUGUUGUUCUCUUGCACUGUGAGUGUGUGUGUGUUUAUGUGGAGAAAGAAAGAGAUAGGACUUAAAGGAGAAAAAUGAAUGAAAUGAAAUAAAAACUUUGCAGACAGAGGGUUUAGCCUCUCUAAAGAGUGUCCCGAUGAGUUGACUGUCAGCCUGUUUUCUGGUGUAGCAGCAGCAGCAGCAGUCAGAGGUAGAGAGAUGGCGAUAAGACCCUUCAGAGGCAGACGACAGACGCCACGAUGAUGCUGGAGUUAUUGAUCAGCAUUUCAUCGUUUCUCAUCUGAUUAAGACCCAGAGACAAUCUUCUUGUUGUCACCAUGAAUGACUGAUAGACUGUGAUAUCUCGCCCCUCUCUUUCUCUAUCUCCUCAUCUCACUCUCGUCACCUCACACUACAUCGAUUAUUGGGAAAAAAGAGCCUCUCAACAUGCCCCUCUCUCUCUCUCUUUUUUUCUCUCCUUCCUUUUCAUCAGCCUGUCCUCCAUUCUCCUUCUCUCUGUUCGCUUUAUCUUGUUUAUUCAUUCGGCUAAUUGGAUAUUUGGACAUGAUAGAGCUCUGAAUGGAGGCCUGUGUGUUUUCAUGUACGUUUGCUUCCAUAACCAAAUCUUUCAUUUCUCUUGUCCUUUCCUUGGAAGUGAAAAUGAAAUCAGACCACAGCCCUUUAUCUGUAUUACCAGUAUUUAAAGGUCUGAGAGAGACUAACAGCCUGCUAAUUCUGCUUCUGUUUCAUUAAAUUGACGGAGAUUUGCAUUAUUUAGCCGCCUGCUUUCUUCUUCUUAAAGGUUGCUGGCAAGUGCUUUUGUCAUUAUUGUGUUGAAAGCUGCAAACAUAAUGACGAGUCGAAUAUUUGCUUAAAUAUUAGUGCAGUAAUUACAGAAAAGUGCCUCUAAUCUACAUCUUGGUCAUGGUUUGAGAUUAUCCAAGUGAUAAAAAGUAAUGGAAGUUAGAUCAUGUGGUAAAAUAUGUGGUAACUUGCUAUUAACUAUCAAGAUUGUUUGAUUUAUUGUGACAAAAUCGAUCAUUUGAUAGCCCUAAUUUGACCCUUUUAUGAUGUUGUAGCUGUAGCAGUUAGUGCUGGUGCUUAGGUUUAUUAGACAGUGACAGAGGAUGUUGUGAACUCUCUGCUGCUAAUGAUUUUGGCCUCCCUAAAAUGUCUCACCCAGGCGCUGCUCCAGUUCCAGCCGGCUGACUCAGAUUUUGGACGGAUGAGAACCGGGGAGCUCUUCCUUUUUGUUCUGCACUCAAGUAAAUACGGCCUCAUUUCGGCGUCUUAAUGACCUCAUUUGAAGGAGUCUAAUGACUCUCAGUACUGCGAGGGCACAGCAAGAGGAUCGCAGCUGUUUUCACCAGCAGUGUUCUCUGCGAGCACACUGUAUAUCUCCAUUAUGAGGUCUGGUCUCUGGGAUAAAACAGUCCAUUUAGUCCUAUUUAUUUCUCUCAUUGUCAGAAGUAUUACUAUCAAUAAAACUCAGGUGCUCCUUUGUUGUGCAGUUUACAGGUAACUACUAUGGAGGGAAUUGAAAGGAUGGUUUAUUUUGCACAGUAACAUAAACUAUUCUUUAAAUACAUUCAGGUAGAUAUCAAAUAUAAGUUUAUGUGGUACAGAUCAGGGCCUAAAACUAUCACUCAAUAAGGGUCUUUGUCAAAGACAGAUGAAAACUUCAUACAGGGGAGCAUGUGACAGAAAAUCACUCCUCUGUGAUCAGGACUGAAACCUGACAGCUCAGUCAGCUUCAGAGGGAAGAUGUUUCCUCCUCUUCUAUAUAUCUCGUUCCCACAAGGGACUUAAAAGGCUCAACCCUGCAGACUAUUUCAGAUUACAAACCGCUGUCAACAGCUGCACAGGGACUCGGUGAGAGAUGGAUAGGACUCUGUGAACAAUAAAGCUGUCUUUAAAGCCUCUGGUGGCGUUAUUACCUCGUUCAGAUACUGUAAAGGUGCUUUUUAAACUCCAGGAUGAGAGAGGGGACUUUUGGAUCAAGUGGCCCAAAAUAACUUUAUCCCAAACCUACUGCGUCAUCUAAAGUACAGUGAGUCACGUUUAUAGAUGCUGCAGCUCAAAUCCUCUUGUUUUAUUAGACUUGUUUUCAUCAAUCAGUCUUUAUUUAUAUAGCAUUUUUCAUACACAAGCAGCAAAGGAGAAGAAAAGAGAAAGAGAAAAAAAGGAAAAAGAAACAAAGAAUACCCGGAUCUACCCCAACCCCAAACGCAAACGUGUAUUAAAAUGAACUAAAUUGAAGGCCUCGAUUUGAUAGAAACAGGAAUGUGCGCACUGAGGAAACGCCAUUUUAAAAUUCAAGCUAAGGAAACACUGGAGGUUCGUUUAAAAUCUAAAAGCAAAGUAACAUAAAAUGAAAUAUAAGAAAUAAAAGGAAAUAAAAACAGUAAAAGAUACUAAAAUAAGAGAACCAAAAUAGCUCAAUAAAAGACGAUCCUGGCCCCUCAGAUCAAGCAUCGAACUUGGGGGGCCAGAGCCUCCACCCUCUGGAAUUCACUCUUCAAACCCAUCCGAGACUGUACGGACCCCCAUACUUUCAGAUCACUCCUAAAAACACACCUUUUUAAAUUGGCUUUUAACCCGUGAACUGUUCUUUAAUUGUCUUUUCAUAUAUUGUCUUUCUUAACCUUUUACAUCGUUGGUUUUAUUUCUCACAAUUUUCUUUGUUUUAAAUUGUGUUUUUUAUUUUAUUUUCUUCUUUUUCUUUGUAAGGCAUCUUUGAGCACCUGUAAAAGCAUGUUAUAAAUAAAAUUUAUUAUUUUUUAAUUUUUGUUAAAACACUUAAAGUUUAUGAUAUGAAAUUUAGUUUAAAGCAAGAAUAAAAAGGUAUGUUUUGAUUUAAGUUUUAAAAUCAUUGUUAUAAAAAAUAAAAUUGUUUAAUUUUUGCACUUUUUAUAUAUUUGGAUAUUAUAAUCAAGGGUAUUUAUAUUUUUUGUACCCUGCUAUUUUCCAGUGUUUGAAAAAAAAAAACCCGCCCCAGGACUGAUGCUGGCUCAGGGAUGGGGUGAGGACAAACUCCCAUUAACCAGUGCAUACCUUGGGAUACAGAUGAGCCGCCUGCUAAGCAGCAUCAAGACAAUAAGCCCAGUGGUAACAGACACUCACACUCACACACACACACACACACACACACACACACACACACACACACACACACACACACACACACACACACACACACACACACACACACACACACACACAUACACACUAACAGAGUCAUUCAUGUGUAUAUUUACCCCUCCUGAUGUGUGUUUACAGUGAUGCAAGUUUGACAUCACUGUAACAGCAACCCUCUGGUGAAUGUUUAGCAUGUACGCAACGUACACAUCAUAACACACAUAUGUUAGUCUGCAGACAGCUCUGACCAGCUCCGCUUGCAUUUUAUGCUGAUGAGGCAUCUUGCUUGUCUUGUUCUACAUAAAAUAAUACAUGCUUGCCUCCCUCCAUAUCAUGAAUAAUUUACAUCUACAGACAGCAUGACUGCGCAGAAGAAUGCAUAUACAUUUUAGUGUUAUGUUCAGAAGUUAAAAAACAACUUUUCCAAACUCUUCAUUGAGCUUUAACCUUAUUGUUAACUUAAAUGUUGUUUGUACAAAGUGAAGCUGAUUUGGUCUAAAUUAGAUUUCUGCAGCAGAGCUCUGAAAGUCUUUUUGCUUGGUCUCUACCAGGGCUGAUUUAGAUGCCAACCUUAUUCUAUUCAUGCCUCUCUAAGCAGUCUCUGUAGCACAUAUUGAGAAGUUAAUUCAGUGUUGUAGUUUUUUUUUUUUUACUCUGGUAGUAAUGAACUCACCCAGAAUGGCUCUGCCCUACAGCGGUUAAUUUCCUUCUAUUACUCCACUGGCCUCUGCCUCUGUGUGUGUCUGCUAUGUGCCUCAUGAAUUAAAAUGGACAUACAGGUUAGUUUAGCAGAAAUAGAACCGGACAAAUCCAAAAUGUAGAAAUAUAUGCAUAUCUUACUUAUCGAAUGGUUUAAAUGGUUUGAUCCAGGGGGAGUAAUGCUGCUGCUGAAGUGAAAAGAAGCAGUAGUGAUGGAGCACAUGGUGCACAGAGGUAUUAUUGUAUAGUAGGGUGUUGGUGGCGCCCUGCUGUGUAUUGAGGGCUCAGCUAAAUUCACCAUGAGGUUGAACCGUCACUCCUCUCACCUCCUUCACAAGCUGGAAAAAUUACUCCUGAGCCUGCAGCGUAAGCAGGGUGAGAUGUCACUGAAGAAGCACUUGUAACACUCAGAACACUUGUGCGCAUUUGUUCACAUGGGUGCAAUAUUUUCACACUUUACUUCACCACCUAUCUCAUCACCAGGAACAGCUCUCCUUGAGUCUCAGCCCUAACUCUUCAAACUGAAUACAGUAGGGCUGGAUGAUAAUGGCAAAAAUAAUCAUCAUAAUUAUUAUUGUUUCAUUUUAAUCAGCUGUGUGAUUGCAGACAAUAACUUUCUAAUGCUAAUACUUGGCGCGCGCUUGUUCCACGGUGCAGCACCCCCCAUUGCGCACGCACAUACUGAUACACGGGUCGAAGUUAUAGCCGUGUAAAUUUAACAAGAAAACUCACUCUUAAGGUGUGCUGGCUUUUAUUUAGCUGUGGCUGUGCGCCUCAGUUGAUUUCAUAUAGGGGAAACCCUGAAGUUGGUCGGAUUGCCUUGGGGAGCAGACACGACAGCGUGACAAACUUUGCAAUUUCCUUUUGCUCGACGUUCGUCAACUUGAAGCUAAAAUGUUUCCAGAUAACUGAAGUUGUCCUACCUUUCUUCUCAACCAAACCAAUGUUUUCAAUCACUUGCUCUUCACAUUAUUGAUCAACACACAUCACACGCUUACUGCAGCUGUAUGUAACAGGGUUGCAUUCAGUGUUUUCCCAGCACAGGAACUUACAUACACGCCAUGUGGUGCAUUAUUAGUUUUUCUUUAAUUAUAAUGUUUUUAUGAUCGGGAGAAGCCAAAAUCGAAAUCAUGAUUUAAAUUUGAUUGAUUGUCCAGCUCUAGAAUACAUUUACCAUAAGUAACUCCCACUCCCUUACAGCCCCAGUCAACCAUGGUGUCCCUCAAGGUUCCGUGCUUGGUCCCCUCCUCAUCUUGGAUGUCGCACAGUUUACUCAAACUGCGAAAAACAUCUCCUGACUCCUACGGUUACUCUCCAAUUCUGUUGCUGAAACCCUCAUCCAUGCCUUCAUUACUGCAGUCUUGUCUGGGACAGAAGUGAUCAAUCAGCAGUUUAUGGAUGGGAUGCUGGGGGAGAUUUGUAGCUUUUUGACAGCUAAAGCCUGGAUUUUGAUGGACCUGAUAAACUCUUCUGCUUUAAUCCAGCUGGACAACAGGCUGUGUACAAAUGUUUAUGCUGCUGCAUGCCCGCCAAGCUUCUUUAAUGUGACUGCAUGGAUGUUGUGUCAGAUGUCAGCCUCGCAGCUUUAAAGCCAAACAGAAAUCAGUGUUUCUGUGUUUGAUUCAGCUUCAAAGGGAGCAAUUUAUUUAUAGUCUUUAUCAGCGAGCGCAUCAACAGCUGUGUGAUCCUCUCUGUAGGUAAUUGUCUUUUUCUGUUUGCGGUACACAGCGUGAGAGUUUCCUCUAUCCACAGCAGAGCUUUUUUCCAUCAUUGCUGCCUGUCAAAGUGAACAAAUCAAACUCCAAACCAUCUUUACAGUUAUUAAUUUUUCUGUCACACCUCCCACUCAUCACACAGUUUUCUAUUGUCUCCUUUUUGUCCAAGUAAACAGAAUCCAGGCAAGCACUCAAACUCUAAAUAUUCACUCCACAUCUGCAGCGAUCGCAGCUGUCAGCAGUUUUGUGGAAAUUGGUAAUAUCAGAUGACUGACGUUUAAAAAAGACAAGAAGAUAAGAUAUAAAGAGGUGAGAAAGGAGGAAAGAGGGAAGCAGAAGCAAAAUCAAUGGCGGUCUUUGUGGAUAUCAGCCAGAGGACGGAACAGCUGACUACAAACAUGUCUGACAAACACAUCAAUAAUAAGUGGAAGUUGUCUUUUCCCCACAGAAACUCAAAUGAUUGUUUUGUUUUCUCGGUUUGGCAUGAAUAGAAAAGUGGGACAUCAGUUUGCGGCUCUGUUGUGGUCAUGCUGCACACCGUGACUCUGGAAUAAAUGUUGUUUUUAUUCCCCAAAUCCUGAGAAUAAAUAGCAGGCGAAAGCCAGCGGCAGAGUAUGUUGAAAGAAAGCUUAAGGUCGCAGACGGAUCUGUCAGGUUACCUGCUGCUGCACUGAGCAUGUGAAACAUGUACACCUCUGCUGUUGUCAGACAUCAACCACUCUGACCUUCACAUGUUCAAUUCUCCUUUGUGGCCCACUGCAGAGGAAACAUGCAGAUACAAUAACACAAACACACAGCAAGGUCCUGUUGCAUCUUCCAGCUGACUCACAUCAGUUGUUUUUAGGGAACACACACAACACUUGACUUAUGCUUGUAUUUUCCUGUUUGUGUACUUUUGCGCUGUGCAAAAUGUGCACAUUUUGUCUACAUCUUAUCAAUAACUAAUUUUGGAAAGGCAUUUGCUGUUUUGUAGGGUUGACUCAUCUCAUCACAGGUAUGUUCCUGGAUUUUAUAAUAACCUUUAAUUUUUUUAAAAACUGCCUGCAGACAGUGUUAGUGUUAGUGCGCCCCGUACAUGGGAACCACGGUCCCCACAACGGUCGUAGGUACGAGUCCGGCCCCGACCAUGUUCUGCAUGUCCUUUGCCAUCUCUCUCUGUCUCCCCACAUUUCACCCUGUCCAAUCAAAGAAGGCUGAAAUUGCCCAAAAAUAUACUUAAUAAAAUAAAUAAGUAAAUAAAAUGCCUCCAGACGUCCUCCCUCUCUCUCUCUCUCUCUCCCUCUCUCUCUGCAGCCUUCUCACAUGCGUCACUGAGAGAUUUAUGCAGAAGUCUUGUUCUUAUUAAACAAGAAAACUCUGCCUAUUCAAACUAGCUUCUUCAAAAAGUUUUUGAUGUAUGCGCUCUGAUUCACUUCCUCUCUGCAAGUGUAAAAACUUAACUUUUUCAACAUCACAAAUACACGGAAUCUCCUGCGACCUCAAGAUCUGUCUAACUUGUAUUUGCAUAAUGGGCAGUUGGAAAUUAGUAAAGGGUCUUAUUUUUUUUUUCUUUGCUGGGAGAUUAUCUUAAAGCUAUCCACACCAGGAUUAGCUCAAGUGUAAGUUUUUAUGAAUCCUAAAUGGGAUCAACUGUAAAAAAGAAAAGCAUGGAAUAUGAGAGGGAUUUUUUUCUCCUCUUCUUGAACCUUGGGGGUUUUAUUGGAAGAAGAAAUUGAAUUCACAAGAGCUGCAAAUGUAGUGAAUCAUUAAUGAGUUCAAAUGUCUGUGGAUUCACUUUGUGCAGGUUAUUCUCUUAAUUGAAAACACAGCAAUGUGUGUGUGAGUAAUCUUCACAAAUGAGUGCAUAUGGGAGGAACGUAGAGAUAUUUAUGACUCGAACAUCUUAGUGUGGAGCAGCACAGAGAGGAGAGUGUAAAUGAAGUUCAAUGUUUUCCUCCUUCCUCCGUUCUCUUGUCAGCCAAACCAGUAUGAAGGUUGUCUCCCUCUGUAAUCAUCCACAGUAUUACGUCUGCAGCUCUUAGUUUUGUCUUUCGGUAGAUUAACGGAGCUGCUGUGUCCCUCGUCUGCUCGUCUUCUUCUGAUUUUCUCUCUCAGCGUUCCCUCACUGUGCCUCAUUAAGACGCAGAGAAACAAGAACUUCCGACCUAACGCUACUGUAACAAGAGUUUGUGAUUUUAUUCUUCAAGUAAGUCAACGAUGUGUGAUUUUUCAUUGAAUUUUGUUUCUUUCUCUAAAAGCACAGGCAGAAAAUAAGCAGGUUUUUGGCAUAAGCAGUUGUUUUCCCACUGAGGGACAUCUGAAGGUCAACUCUGUCAAGUAGAGCACUUGUGAAAAGCCCAAGAUUUUGAUUUUACAAUGAAUAAUGCAUCGACGGAGACUUUUGUUUUCAGCCCACAUCUCUUUUAGAUGCUUUUUAUUCUCAUUCAUUUUCUCUUGGUGAAGGUUGCAGCUCUACAGAGAACACCAACAGAGGUUAAACGCAUUUAUUCAAGAGUUUCUCCAUAAUAAUGGCAGCUUUGAAUCUAUUUCUUAGUCCUGUCUUAUCCACAAACUGUAUAGAAUAGCUAAAUCCUUUUUUAAAUGUAUACUUCUCUAGUGGGAUAAGAAGUGGUUUGGGCUUUUUUGGAGCUUUACUGGGUGAAAAGUGACUGAAAAAUAGCUGCAGGUAAUAGAUUUUGCUUUCCAUUUGUGUGAGAUAAGGGAAGUACAUGCCAAUAGAAGGAUCAGCAGCAGUUAAAAGGUAAGAAAAAAGGAAAAAUCACCCACAACCCUUGUCAUUGAUUUGAUUUUGUCCUUUUGGGGAUGAUCAUCAGUUCAUUUCUUCUCUUUUAGAUUGAAGACAUUUAGGCUAGGGCAGGGCGAUAAACUGAAAAUUUACUGAUACCAAAAUUUAUGACAAUAUCCGAUGUCAUUUUGCACAUCAAUAUAUAUAAAAAAUCAAAGUUGGUUUUAGAUGUGUAUAGGUAGGCUAUGGUCUCAUGUCCCUUUAAGAUGCUGUCCUACGUCAGAGACGUGACUCCACCCCAUCUAGUCUGUAACAAAGAGGGAAAGACAGGCGAGGAGAUGGAGGACGGUUCAGAAGUUGUAGCGGCUGGAGCGGUGGCUGAAGUAGACGAAGUAGAUGCAGGAGGGGGUGAGCAGCUUGUGGAGUAGUUAUCGUCCAUUUAUUGUUAUCGAGGUGAACUGCUCAAUAUAUCGUAAUAUUGAUUUGAGGCUAUAUUGCUCAGCCCUAAUUUGAGUUGAUGUGAAGAGGAGGUGUGUGUGUGUGUACGUAUGAGAAGAUAAAAAACUGAAACAGUGUCAGAUAAGAUAUUGAACUUUUACACAAAUACACUAAAGAGGAAUGACAGAAAUAUCUUUGUCCUAUUAAAUAGCCCCUUUUACGUUUUUUGAAGUCAAUGUCGAACAACUAAACCUGGCAAGGCUUUCUCUUGUAUAUGUAAUUUUUUUUUUUGCGACAUGCUGAACUGCCUUUAUGCCACAUGAUGGUUGACCCUAUUUAAUCCUGGAGGCUGUCAGCUAAAAACUCAGAGUGGAGGUGAGAUUAUCAUCAGAUAAAUGAGCGGUGGUCUGUCAGAGUGAUAACUCCUAUUAAACAGAGAGGAAGAGCCGUCUCAUAUCACGUUCAGCGCAGACCUCCAGAAUCGAUGCUUCUUCACCGAUUCACUCGUCUAUGAAAUGUGGACGUCAAUAUUUGAAGUUUUCACCUUUUGAAUUAAACAUUUGGUGGUUAUACUUUGAAGCGUGGCACUUUGGGAUUGUGAUGAAAUCCAGCAGACAUACCGAGUGUUUUGUCAAGGAGGAGAAUAGAGUGAAUGGCAUUGAAAGUCAUGAUAACCGCAGCCAAAAUUCAUCAAGAAUAUCAAAACAUUUACAGCGUUAGAUUAUGAAGUGGAAAGAUACCAAGCAGCCAUUUGUAGAAAUACAUUAAAGCCCUUUUCUUUGUUACUGAAUGGAGUCAGGCUGAAAUUGGCCUCUCAGGAGAACAUAUUACACCUGUCAGUCAUCGCUCAGGGCGUCAGUGAGCGUCUGUCUUCUGCUACAUCUCAGUAAAAGCAUCUUUUGAACCCACAUGAAGAGUGAUUUUAGGCAUUUAUGUGUCGGCAGAAGAAAGAUACUGUCUUUUUUCUGCGCCCACUCGAAAAGACGUGAAGUUACGGUCACUUCAGCUGAGUGGGUUUGUUAGUGCUAUAAGGCUAAGCAUGGGCAUGUGCUCUAUUAGACACACAGUUGUGAGUCAGUGAGCAUGUGGGUCGUUUGAUUCUCACGCAGGUCUGCCUUUUUUUUUACUUAUUGGCAUCUUGUGCAACAAUAAAUAACUUUUAAUGAAAGACUGUAAGAAGAUGUUUUCUUGACAUCUUAUUUUGACCUCAGCAUGACCCGUAUGCUGCCCUGAAGCUUUGAGGUCUUGACAAGAACUGAUCUAAGAGUCUCACUAAAGGUUUUGUUUACUUACUGCAACCUUUACCCUCUUAUUUUUCUCCUUUUCUUGUCUUCUCAGAGUUUGUUAAAGCUGCGUCUUCCUUUCUGAACAUGAUGGAUAAUGAAGAGCGGAUCAAAUCAUCAACGAGGCAGACUAAAGGACGAGGCUAAAGUUUUCUUCAGGUAAUAAUUUCUGCACUGCUGUUUCUUUCCACAAUCAAACAAAUGACUGCUGGAGACGAGCCUGAUCUCCGUUACCAUAAAAAGUUGAAAGCGUCCAACCAUAACGGCUUCCUGGAGUUUUGCGAGCUGCUGAACCCCGACUCUGUUACAGCAAACCAGCAUAAAACGAUCUUAUACCAGCUUAUUAACACCAUCUUAGCACAGUCAGCUCUGUUGCAGUUGUCUACCAUCGUGUUUGUUUACGUCAUAAAAACCAAAGAAUCACUGCGAAGCUGGAAGGCGCCUGCUAAUCGCCUCUGGCUGUGAGAUUUUUCCCUCUAGUCAUCCAGGACUCUCUCCCCUUGUAAAGAGCUGACUAAUUAUAGUGUCUGCAUGGUAUUAUGAGCCUAACAACACCUUAACCAUUCAGCACAAGUUAUUUUCUGCUUGGUAGGAUAAAGAUAAUUGCCAGACAAAUGGCAGUUUAUGUAGAGAUCAAUUUACUGGCCAACAAUGUUGCCCAGCCAUUUUAUUUGCUAGUAAACAAACAUUCGGGACAUUUUGUUGGGUUACUGUUUUCUUUAAUUGGCUGUAAUGUGGGCCAAAUGAGGGUUAAACUACUUGAGAGAAGACAUCUGUGGGGUUAUAUGCACUCAGCAUCACUCCAUUACUCAUCCUGGAUCCUGUUCUUUCUCUUUGUUUUCAUCGGUUUUAUAAGCAGAUUCUGUCACAGCCCAUUUCUUCUGUUAGGUAUACACAUAUACAGCCUCAUUAUACACACAUAUGAGCUCCCAGCAGCUUGUGACAACAGAACUACAUAUCUGCAUGGACACUAGGGGUGGGCGAAAAAUCCAUACAGCAUAGUAUUGCAAUAUUUUGUCUGGUGAUAUAUUGUUUCGUCUCAUGUACAAAGUGUCGAUUUUUCAAAUUAAUUGCUGAUAUGAAGUAAAAUCUAUAAUAAUGGAAAAAUAAAAUCAACCGUUUGUCCAGUGAGGGUGUCAGAGGUGACAUCAUAAAGCAGGAGAAAGUUGGUACAACAAAUAUAUAAAAGAUUUGGAAGAUGUGCUUCAUGAAAAUAAAAUACUGUGUAAAUAAGACAAACAUCAAGUCAAAGUCAACUUUAUUGUCAAAUAUGCUAUAAAUGUUAAACAUACAGCACAGAUGAAAUUUCAGUCCUCUCAGAUCCAUGGUGCAUAAGAAUAAACUUUAAAAACAAAACUAUAAAAGUAUAAAUAUGAGGAUAAACAACUGAGCUAAACAAGACUACCUUAAAUAGUCUCAAAUUACAAAAUAAAGAUAACAAUAUAAACAGCAUAACAGUAUAAACAGUGUAACAGUAUAAAUAUAAGGUAGAAGGUGAAUGGAAGAACGUGAAUGUAAACAGUAUGGCAGUCCUGAAGUUGACGUAAUAGUGUAAAUAUGACAAUAUGGAUACAAUAGUGCAAAUAAUGGCAGCUGUGCAAUAGAGUAAAAGUACAAUGUAAUGCAAUAGUAAUAAUGGUGCAAUGAUGAGGGAUAAAGUGAAAGUGUGAGUGUGCUAAAUUAUCUAAACAGUUAAAAAAAAUGUAUAAAUCACAAUAUAUUGUAUCGCAAUACUCACUGUAUUGUAAUAUGUUAAAAAUCGUAAAAAUAUAUCACUUUGGCCCAAGUAUCCUGAUAAUAUCAUAUCAUGGGGCCACUAGUGAUUCCAACCCCUAAUGGACUGCUUAAAUUAACACAUUUUUGAUAAACCCAGUGAAAAUCAGCUUCAUCACACAGUCCAAAAACAUACAGUGUGAUUGGUUGUCUGUCUCUUCAUGUCAUCCCUGUGAUAGACUUGCAUCCCGUCCAGGGUGUACCUGCCUCUCGCCUGUUGACAGCUGGCUUGAGUCUCUGUGCAUGUGUCACUGAAGAGGAAGGUUUUUAGGAUGAUAAAGAAACAGAGAGUGAUCAGAAAAACAAUCUGAAGGGGCAAACAUGUGAUUGAAUUUACUCCUUUAACAUGUGUCUUCUUAUGGGUGUAAGCAGAUGGGGCACCAGCUGAGCGCAGUAGAUAAAACUGUCAAGCAGAAAGAGAGAAAGUUAAAUCAAUUCAUCUGCAUUUUCUUGAAAGUGCAGUCAGUUUGGAGGGAUAUGUAGAUUUUGCAGGAUGAGGCUAAAUUACACAAUGAGGAAACAGAGUAAUUUGACACCUUUCAUCACCAAAUCUUCACGCCUUUUACGGCAAAAUGCUCCUUUAUGUUGGUUAGCUCUAUGCUGAUUUUGUCUGUUUUGCUGUCGUAAUUUUUUUACCUAAACUGUUGCCUGAAGAGUGAAAAUAUCAAUCAGUGCAGCUGUUGGUAAACAGUUCAUUUAUAUUUCCUGUUAAACUUUUGAAAAAAAGACAUGAAUUGUAAAGUGGCCUAAAGAGAUUAUUUCUGACGUGUUCAUUUUGUGGAGAAGUCUGAACUGUUUUCAGGUCUUGAAAGGACUCGCUCCGCUGGCUGUAAACUCUAAAAGACUUGUGUCUACUGUGAGUGGAAUAAAACAUCCAGAUGGUUUCCACACAAACUUUAAUAGGCUUGUUUUUCAGAUUUCCUCUUUGCUGGGCUUCAUUGAUUUGAUGUUUCUCCUUUCUUUAUAGCCCAGUUUUAUUAGGUGUUAACUUCUAUAUCAGCAGCUCAGACACUUUCCUGCCUUUUUAUGACAUCGUAUCACUUCAGCGUUCACAAAACUAGCUAAAAAUAGAUAUUUCUGGACAACAUUUGGACUGAUAUCUUUGUGAAAUAGAUUUACAACACAGGCAUAAUCAUAAAAGCCUGAAAUCAACUCCAUAAAGUUUAUCUUUGAGAUGCCUCACUGACUGGAAAUGAGACGUCUCGUGUUUCUAACUUUCCGCCUCAUUUACAUUUGUGAGCGUUUUAUAGUGCGGAGGCUGUGCCUGCUAAUUUUAUUAGAUACUAAUUACAGAGUUUAAAAAUAGUGCACAAACUGUCUGAGUGUUACCAUCAAGUUGCCUCCAUUUUUAAAGUGUUAGUUUCGGUGUGUGCAGAAAGUAUUACGGCACAUUUUGAAGUAUAAAACACUUACCUGCAGAGACGGGGAGGACGUGUACAUGACAUGCUCUUGAGAAAGACUCCUAAACUUUUACUCUACUGUAUAUUCAACCAUGCAGAGUAACUACCAGGUGUCAGUGUGUGUCUGCGCGACUUCACCUAACUACACCGGUGAACCUGCCGCAAAGUACAACAGGUUAAAUCACUGCGAACUGAAAGCGACAGGUAAAAAGUGCACAGAGCGGAGUGGAGUGGAGUGGAGUGGAGGAUGAGGGGUACAAUAUGCUGGGGAAAUAGCUCAAACUCCUGGGAUUGAACUUGUGGGGAGAGCAAGAGAAAUAGAUUAAGUAAAGUCUGAGUUGAGUUGAGAUGGAAAAGAGAGAAAUUGUCAGCCGCAGGGUGAAACAGCAGAGGGAUAAUAAAAACGGGGACACAGCAGGGGACCGGAAUGAGCGUAAGUAUGAGUAUGAGUAUGAGCCGAGACAGGGCGUGUUUGUGUCACUGCUGUCAGUGGGUGGGCAUCAACUUUAAUUUGACAUUAAGCUCUCAUACAAAUCCUUCUGUUCCUGACACCUCAUAUUUUUUGGAGAUACUUUGUCUAAAUCACAGCCUGAAUACUGAGCUCUGUCCAGAUGUUUUUGCUACUGGUUAAGUUCACACUAAUGCAGACAAACAGCCCGCCUGCAAUGACACAAGUUAUAUUGUCUGCAGACUCUUCCUGGACUUACUUUAAUAAUAGUAAAAUAAUAACUUUAUUUUUAUAGCACUUGUAAAAACAGAAGUUUACAAAGUGCUUUGACAAAUAGUUGUACAGCAUAGAACAUCAGCAAAUGGAAAUAAAAACAAAAGCGCAGUUAAAAAAAAAUUUCCUCUGUUUGCAAAGUUAAAGAGAAUCUGUAUUUCAAGCAUUUUGCAACCGUUUGUAGCAGCUUCACGCUUGCCCAAAAAUAUCAUGGGUGUUGGGUUUUUUUUGCAAGUGUGCUGAUGUUGGCCUAGUGUAGCGUUUGGAGACUUAUGCUAUGUUGUCUCAUUUGUUGUGAUGUGAUAAACAUCUGAUAACAUGGAGUAAAAGCAAAAGAGGAGAUGAAAAAGUUUUUAAAAAGUGUAAGAUGUCGAUAAAAAGCUGCUGAGUCUGUGGGCUCUAUUUUUGUGCCUCACCGGAGACGUGGCGCAGGCGUGGCGUAAGUCAGGUCUGCCGCGCCAACAAGGCGUUCCCAAGCACAAUUUGGUAUUUUGGUGAGCGGCGCAGCCCGGCUUAAGUAUCCCCCCUCCCUAACUCAGCUCCUCCCAGUGGCGUUAGUCGUAGGGAGGGAGGAGAGAGGACUUGGAGUGGAUUUAACACAGCCGAGACCUGUAUUGUCCAAUAACAUCAGCUCCUCUCCUCGCCUUUAAAUCCACCACCGGCGAGGAAUAUUACAAUUUUCGUGAAGUAAUCAAAGAGAUCGGGCUCCGCCAUGCAAAAAAAAACACUGUGCGGGGUCCGCCACCCUUUGCCGCGUCGCCAGCGGACACGAAAAUAGAGCCCUGUGACUGUUCUUUGAAACUACAGUCACGUUCAUGAGCUGAACGUGGUCCAAGGUCUGCUGGAGGUCUUCAGAGCUGUUUGAGGCUCACAGUCCUGGGCGUGAUGCCACAAAGCUUUGACAACAGGCACAUGAUAGGAAUAGACUAUGAUCCUUUUUAGCAUCACUCCAAAUUUAUACCGACCUUUAACUCGCUGCCAGAAGGAGCGAUGAUGGCGUCCAGGUUAUGUCAUGAUUGAUCUUUAUUUAUCUGUUUACCAGACCUUUAUCUGAGCAGGAACACAUACUUCAAAAAGCUGAAUGCGUAAUCCUCUGGACACGAUUUGUAUGUCGGUGAUACGUGUGAGGCGGUGGAUACAGCUGUGUUUGCACUGCCUCACCAAAGCCUAGUGUAAAUUUUCAGCCAUUUCCUUUGAAAAAGAGUUUGACCAAUUUUAGAAAAAGAAAAAAAAAAUAUUGAGGAUAUUGUUUUAUUUUUGUCUUAAAUGCAAGCAUAAGGAAAGAGCAACCAGUUAUUGUAGAUGCCCAUGUCUGGAGAGUCUGAGCUUGGCUCUGACUUUAAGUGUUUUAAAAUAGAGAUGCACCGAUCCAUUUUUUCCUGAUCCAAUCCGAUACCAAUACCUGGGCUGAGUGUAUUGGCUGAUAUCCAAUACCGAUCCAAUACUACUGUUAAAUGAACGAGUGUUUAUAAAAAAGGUAACAAUUAACACAGAUAUAAAUUUACUUAAUAUUAUUAAUUAAAAAAUAACAAAUUGCACAUUUAAGAAAAAUUAAUUGAAAGAAAAAAAAAGACUGGAUCAGCGUCAUUCAUCAGAUAUUUGAUCCAGUUAAUUUGUUAAAAUCGGAGCUGAUAUCAAAUCCAAAUAUCAGAUCGGUGCAUCUCUAGUUUUAAAUUCUACUUUCCUCCUUGUUUCCUCUUUUCAUCUCCUCCUUUCCUCUCUCCUUUCACAAUAUCUCUGCCUCUUCCUCACUCUUUCCCUCAUGCUGCUUACCGUUCACUCUCUAAAGCCUACUGCUGCUGCUGCUGAAGAGUAAGAGGAGUCACACGGGGCAGCCUGCCAACCUGUUUGUAUGCUUCAGAUCGCUGGUGUCUUCAUCCAGCUGCUCCGAGUGUGUGUGUGUGUGUGUGCAUGUGUGAGGGAUGCAGAUUAGACGAGGAGUAUUGGGAUUAGAGUCGAAUGUGUCUCAAGUAUCUCCUUAAUCACCCAUGGAUUUUCAGCCUGUUUGUUUGUAUGAGUCAAGACGUAUCUCCACCAACACAUAUGCGCUUAUUGAUCCUCUUUCAUCGAUUUGUGAGUCUCUGAAGCUUAAACAGAGUAUGUUUCACAGGGAGCAUGUGGGCGCAUGAAUGAGUAGAUCAGUGCUUUAAUCAUUAGUGGGAAGAGAGAAUACCACCGGAGAAUCCACGGGGUGUAAAAGGUUGAAAAAUAAAACCAACAGCUAAAAUGAAAGGCAUAAAAGUGAAAGCAGAAAUCAUAUUUGGCAAAAUACAAAUAGCAGUGGGCCUAGAACUGAACCCUGGGGGACCCCUGUGGAGGAUAUUUUCCAUUGAUGAUGGUGAGCUGACAUCAGGGGUGUCAAUUUUAACUUGACAUUAAAUAUCAUGUUUUUGAAUAAGGAGAGACUCGAAGUUUCUUCUUUCCCGUCAAUGACAGCGACGCCUCACUAUUUCCUAUUAUUAUCCUCAUGAUUUAACUCUUUAAAUGCUGCACAUUUUUCCAAACCUAUCUUUUUUCACUCUCUGGCUCUACACCUGCUGUAUUACUCACUUUUUCAAAGCGGCACACUGUGUACUCUAUGACCCCCUCUAUGUACACCUUGAGUUGUUUCUCCAGAGACGGAGUGAAUUUCAACCUCCAUGGUUCAUGUGGGCAAGAAUCCUGCACGGUGCUCAGACCUCGACAUUGCACCGUGAGAAUGCAGCAGAUUUGUCCAUCAUGUACCUCUCCCCUCUCUCUCUUUCUCUCUCUUUCUCUCUCUCUCUCUCUUCAUAUAAAUGUAAAUAUGUGUUUGGGCAUUGGAACAGGCCUUUCUGUGUCCGCUGGGAGUCACACUGCCAGAGGGGAAAUCAGAGGUGUUCUUGCCAGCCAAUCAACAGACUCUAAGCUGUCACCGUCCACAGACUUACAGCGAGGUCACUGAGGGGCUGACCUACAUGAGUAUUGUGCCAUGCAAAUGAGCUAAAAACGUCUCAUUAUUAAAGCAGACGCCAAGACUUAAGUGCACCAUAAUUUGCACCGCAAAGCAAAUAGUGUCUCUGUGUGCCAGACAGUUUUGUCUGCAUAUAUCUGCAAACCCCAAUUCUUAUGAAGUUAUACUCUACAAACACUACAUCAUUGUCAAACCAAAACUUAGGGAGGCAGCCAGUCUUCAGCAGGAACAGACCCUGAACAGAGAAGAUAAGGAAGCUUUUGCUUAAUCUGAUUUUUUCACACUGAAGAAGAGCUGCACAGUCUUGAAAAGAAGUUCAGGAAACUUAUAACUUGUAAUCAGGUACUCUUGGCCUGCUCACUCCUCUCGACAUAAUUGCAGAAAUUGAAUGAUUCAUGGGUGUCUAAUGUUGUGUCAAUCACAGAUGGUUUUGUGUUAUUUAUCGGGCGCUAUUUCCAGGUUUAUGCACCCUCUGAGCUCUAUUGCAAGUUAAUAUUGCAUGAAGCCUGUUUGUGACGUGACACCGAGUGCAGUCACCAGAUUUCCUGCACAGGGGUGUCGAGCUGUUUGGCUAACAAGUCUGGAGGAGGGAGAGCAGUUUGCACGGAUCAUGUCCUCUGGUGUUUAAAUGGCUUUACAAACUAAAAUGGCUUUUUACAUCGCAGUACAUAAUUGCACAGUUUGUGUCUGUGAGAAGCUGUAAAGAGAGCUCCAAUGUUCAUAUGGGCUUUUCAGGUUCAUGAACCAGCCGUUCAGAUGUUGUGAAAGCAUCCCUGCGCGUAACCACAGUGUGCUGACAUUCAGGCGUCUGUUUUCAGACAUCUGGUGCUUUUUUUCAGUUUUUUUCCAUCUUUGUGAAGAUCUCUGCAGCGGUGAGCCGUGCUGUGAUGAAAUGUUUUUAUCCUCUUCUCAACAAAACUUGAGUUUACCUUUUUCCAAGUAGAGUUAUUCCAGCACAAAAGGCCAUUUCAGAAAGUGGUGGCGCAGUCUGAAGCCAUCUCUAGAGCCUGUUGCAUAGCUGAAAAAACAGUGCAGAAUGAGAUCUGCAAAAACAGCCCAAUGCACACUGUAGUGUCUAUUUAACCAGGGUUAAUUUGCACUCUCUGGUGUAACAAGUGUACCUCUACAGCAGUGUGUCCUAUGUCAUCAGUCUCUAAGAGAGCGCAUCGAUUUAAAACCGCCCCCUUAACAGCUGAAUCCAAGAACAUUAUCAGCCCCUUAAAGACUAAUCCACCCGUCUCCUCUCUCCGGUUUAAUGCAGCAGGUUUCUCUCAGUGAUUUGGAUCCAAACAGUCCUCAUAGGUAACAUCAGGGCUGAAAACACAGCAGGAGCAGCAGAGAAGAGAUUUCCAUUUACUGAAAAAAAAAAAAAAAAAACCUUGCACACCUGUUUUCUUUAAUGAAGGAAAAAGUGUGAUGAGUUAAAAUGAGAUAAAACGCCACAUUAAGGUAAUUGAAAAAGUCAUGCUUGAGAAAAAGACAACUUUAAAGGUCAGUCUGGGAUUUCAUUUCUGGCGUUAGAUGUUAGAUACAGCUUUUUUAAUGUAAAGAGAUGACUCGUGGUCCUUUCAUUUGGCGACUCUUGUUAGGGCCCAUCAGAGUCUGCUGAGUUAAGAGACUAAAAGUCCUUACACACUGGGAACGACGCAAAUAUCCGACGAGAAAUUACAAAAUAUUCAGAGGCGAAUUUUGACGCGCCUGACUAUAUACAUCAAGCAAGAUGCGAUUUUUGCGACUUUCUGGGGGCGUCCUGGGUGGAAGCGAGAAGACUGACACAACAGCAGACUGACUGUUUUUCAGUUCUGAUUAGACACUAGUGUUGAGAUGUCUGUCUGUCAUGAUAGCAUGUACUGAGUCGGGGCCAGUACCAGAUAAGCACAUUAAACUAUAAUCCAUAAACGUAAGGUAACAACCGAGACCUAAUGGUGCUGUGACAGCAACGUGAUUGAGUUUGAGACAGUGAAAAUACAUAUGGUAUGUUGUAUCUGAACAGGUUAGCUUACGAGCUAAAGUUACUUAGCACAGAUGAAAGUUAAAACAAAGACGUUUAGCAAACUGUUAAAGCACACAAACCAUCGUCAUAUGAGAAAUCUGACACUAUGACUCUCCACAAGUUGUCCUUCUGGUCUUUAUCUUUGUAAUAUUUGUGUCUUUUAUCAAAAAGCACUCUGUUUUCCGACACGUAAACAAUCAGCUGGUCGGCCAUGUUGGAUAUACCGGUGAAUCAGACAUCGCAACAACACGCAAUCUGAUUGGUCAGAAGUGGACACACAGUAUGCAAAACUUUAGAAAACUUGACUGUGAUGCGAAUAUCACAGGACGGGAAAACAUCGCUGAUGUGAACACUUUUAAUGACAGGUUAUGGGUUCGAAAAGAAAUAUUGACGUCCCAAAUAAUCGCACGAAAAAAAAAACGCUCCCGGUGUGAAAAGACCUUAAAGGCUUCUAUUUCUAAACAAAUGUCACUUUGUGUAAAUGUAGUGUUUCUUUCCCUCUCCAGGUACGACACAGCCAAUCACCAGUCCAGUCCAUUCAGCAGCAGCAACAUCGUGUGAAGGAAAGAUCUACGUGUUUGGAGAUGAGAUGCGCCCGACAGCUAAUGAGCCAACAGAUACAGGUUAGGUUUAGUUAUUCCCUAUGAAGACUCUGACUUUGACUUAGACUUUCUUUAUCGUCAUUGCACAAAGGAAAACAGAGCAGUGAUUCCUCUCUACAACAAAAUGUCGUUGCUCUGCUUCCAUUAUUGCACUUUCUGGAGGUAGAGUGGUAGUGGAAUAAAAACAAAUAAAAGUGUAUAAAAAAAUAUCUAUGUCUGGGUCAACUGAGAGCACUUCUUCAUCAGCCCCCUGUUUCCCUCCAUCACUGUCCUCUGCAUCUCUCUCUUCAUGCACUGACACAAAUACAGCCGCAUUUGUUCCCCCUGACAGUAAGUCUGUCUGUGCGUCUUCCCUCUACAUGGACCGCCUCCUGGAGGAACUGCAAAUGAGUUUCACAAACACUUAUCAGGCCUGACUCCCUCUCCCCUGCAGAGUGUAAAAUAUAAUGGCGUGUGACAAAAAUAGUCCCUUCAACGCGUCUGUUGAGAUGUGGGGUGCCUCUGCAGAUCUGCUGGCCUGUGUCUUCCUUUGUCUUUGAUAAAUCAGUCUGCUGAGCAGCAUAUGCACAGGAACAUGAGUGUAAUUGAGCCUCUUCACAUGAGGUAAAUCACUCAGGAAGUCUCAUGAUGUCUCUCAGAACAAAAGUGUUGUGUGUGAGUGGAUAUCUUUUGUUCUCAGAUUGUUUUUAAUAUUCCUGAAUUGAUUAUAACUUUAAAAGAAGAUGUCUGAAAUGUUUUUAAAAACUCCUGUCUGUCCUCUCUAGAUCCUAGGUGGCAAGAUCUUCACCGCAGGAGGCUUUAUGAGCAGCCAACGUCCCUUCUGGAGAAAGAUGUUCCACUUUUAAUCCUAAAGGGUGAAGUUUCUUUUUUUUGUGAGAACUUUUUAAAGUAGUGAAAUCAAGUGAAGUGAAGGACUGUUUUUCCCUUUAUCGGUGGAAUUUAAGAGUCUCUGGACACGUAUCUCUACUGUGAUUGUGGAUUUAUGGGAAAACUCAUUUUGAGCUCUGGAUUACCCGUUUUCUUUGGGCUUGGUGACUGCAUGGGAAAAACUAAAAAGCAGGUUCAGGAGGGUUUCAAGAAGGAGGAAAUCACUACUCUCUUUGGGUGAUUCAAGCCAGACUGAGAUAAACAUCUGGACAAUGAGCGAUCUGUUAUAUCCCUCUGCUUUCUCUGUGGGACAAAGACAGCAUGAAAGAGAGCAAAAUCACUCAAAAAAGCACAAUACUCACCUGAGUCUGUUGCCAUUUUAGUGAUCUGUUGAAAAGAUAUGUCUAUUUUAUCCGUUUUCGAGCACCUUCUUUUAUUAAAUAAACGAAAUGAGUUGGUUUUGUACUCUAUGAAUAACCCA